AAAGGCUUUGCUGAUUGCAUGGGAUGCAUGAAUGAAGUGCUGUAUGUCUGCCAGAAGCAAUCUCUUGUUUGGCUUAAGCAUGAUGAAAGAAGUGAUUCCUUGGUCAUGCACAGAAUGUUGAGCUGGUAUGGUGGCACUAUCUAUGAUGGUCCAUCUGCUUGAAUGAGUGUUGUAUUUCUGCCAGAAUCAAUAUUUUCUGAAUUAUGCAUGAAAGAUCAAAAUGAUAGCUAGGUCAAGCAUGAACCCUGAGCAUUGAUCGUGGCAUCAUCGCUUUGAUAGUUGAUUAGUUUGUCCAGUGCUGUAUUUUUUGCCUCAGGUACUAUCUCGUCAGGGUUAUGCAUGAAAGAACAAAUGAAUGCCUGGCCUCAGGUAUCAUCUCGUCAGGGUUAUGCAUGAAAGAACAAAUGAAUGCCUGACCAGUUAAAAACCCUGACUGUAGUAUCGUGGCACCAUCUAUGAUCGAUCAUCAGCUUGAAUGAUCUCAAGCAAUGGUUGAUGCCGUUACAGAUGAUGAAGGCUUGGUCUCUUUUUACUUGACAAUAUUGAUGAUGGUCCACCCUUUGAAGAGAAACUAACAGAAUGUGAAACUUGUUAUUGUUGCCACGCUCCAAAUCACCAUGAACCAAAAUCUAGAGCACUGCUUCAUACAAACUUGACGGCUGCUUAAGGUUGGGGCAUUGAGGAGGAAAUGGUUUGCAUAACUACCUUUAUUUUUAUUUCUUCACAAAACUUCUAUAGUAAAAGGUGGCUUAGACACAGAAUUUUUUUUUGGGUAGCCAUGCAAUCUUGAGCACAUAAGCUGCUAAGUGCUAAAAUUCUAUAAAACUGGAUCAUAAGUGGAAAGAGGUUUUGUGUAUGUGUGUGAGCUGUGUGUAUUAUUUAUUUAUUUAUUUAUUUUUUUUUGGGGGGGGGUUUGGGUUGAAACUUGCAUGCACUUAGGAUGACUGGGGAGUGUGAAAUUGGAUGAUUGGAUCAGAUCCAAUCUGACAAUUGCAAGGUGUACAAAGAAUUCCAUGCCAUACCAAUUUCAAAAAUUGGUACAAUUAUUAUAUCCAGUUAAAAGUGGGUGAGCCUGAAAUUGGUACAAUUAUUAUAUCCAGUUAAAAGUGGGUGAGCCUGUGGCACAACGGUUAAGUUGCACUAUUGCAACCUGUUGGUCACAGGGUCAAAACUUGGACACAGCCUCUUCUGCGAAGAACAGGGGGUAAGGCUGCGUACACACUUGCCCCUCCCAGACCUUGCAGUAGCAGGAGCCUCGUGCACUGGGUUGCUCUCUCUCUAUUAUAUCCAUUUAAACUAAAUUUAAAAUUUUAAACACAGUAUAUCAUAUUUCGCUCAUCUGCAGAUGUUGCAAAUUUUAAUUUCAUAGUUGUUUCAACCACACUUGUGAAAUUAUGUGGAAAUCAAUGAUUUCUUACUAGCUUCUUCUAUUUGAGCACCAACAGCUUGAUAUCCCCGGUUUUUAAAUAUGCAUAGACCAUUUAAGGUGAUACUUUUUUGUUGAUACUGGAUAUGUGGAAUGGGGUUUAGAUGAGAACAACUACUUUUCUUGCUAAUAAUGCUCAUUCAUACAUGCACAUUACAUAUGGUGUGAUAAGAACUUUCCUUUGCCAAAAUGUGCUUUGUUAACUGUUUAUGUUAUCUUCUUCAGGCAUUCCGUUGCAGAUACUCGGUCUUGGCGUAGGUGGAGGUUGUGGAGUAGGACUCGGCCUAGGAUGGGGCUUUGGAACUGCUCUCGGAAGUCAAUAUCGCACAAAUAGGAUCACAUUCCAGGGCAUUGAUUUCAAUGAUAAGGGGCGAAAUGAUGGGAAAACAAUGAAGGAUUAGGCAAGAACGUCCAGGAGGUUUAGGCUUCACAGUUACUUUUCAUGCUGCUUCAAGCUGGACUUUCCCUCAUUGAUCUCCUUGCAGAUCUUUCUUUUCCAACUCGAACUCAAUGGAAAUAGUGAAAAUUUUUGGACACUGCAUCUUAUUACAUCAACUGAGAGAAGUUUUAAGGUUGGGAUACCUGGAGGAAGGAUCACACUGUUAAAAUGAUGCCUAAUAUAGAAAUUGAGUUUUAAUCAUCUUGGAUGAAACUGUAGUGGUGAGUUUACUUACAGUCGGUAUGCAGUGUACAUUAUGCUGUGAUAAUGAUUGAAGCACUAGGGGAGGAAUUAUAAGCAUAUGGAGUUUAUUUGUUUUGGUUGAUCA